rnacentral:rRNA from 1 species
GCCUAAAGCGUCCGUAGCCGGCUCUGUAAGUUUUCGGUUAAAUCUGUACGCUUAACGUACAGGCUGCCGGAAAUACUGCAGGGCUAGGGAGUGGGAGAGGUAGACGGUACUCGGGAGGAAGGGGUAAAAUCCUUUGAUCUUUCGAUGACCACCCGUGGCGAAGGCGGUCUACCAGAACACGUCCGACGGUGAGGGAUGAAAGCUGGGGGAGCAAACCGGAUUAGAUACCCGGGUAGUCCCAGCCGUAAACUAUGCAAACUCAGUGAUGCAUUGACUUAUGGUCAAUGCAGUGCUGCAGGGAAGCCGUUAAGUUUGCCGCCUGGGAAGUACGUACGCAAGUAUGAAACUUAAAGGAAUUGGCGGGGGAGCACCACAAGGGGUGAAGCCUGCGGUUCAAUUGGAGUCAACGCCAGAAAUCUUACCCGGAGAGACGGCAGAAUGAAGGUCAAGCUGAAGACUUUACCAGACAAGCUGAGAGGUGGUGCAUGGCCGUCGCCAGCUCGUGCCGUGAGAUGUCCUGUUAAGUCAGGUAACGAGCGAGACCCUUGCCUCUAGUUGCCACCAUUGCUCUCUGGAGCAGUGGGGCGAAUUAGCGGGACCGCCGCAGUUAAUGCGGAGGAAGGAAAGGGCUACGGCAGGUCAGUAUGCCCCGAA